GAUGAACGCUGGCGGCGUGCCUAAUACAUGCAAGUCGAGCGAACGGACGAGAAGCUUGCUUCUCUGAUGUUAGCGGCGGACGGGUGAGUAACACGUGGAUAACCUACCUAUAAGACUGGGAUAACUUCGGGAAACCGGAGCUAAUACCGGAUAAUAUUUUGAACCGCAUGGUUCAAAAGUGAAAGACGGUCUUGCUGUCACUUAUAGAUGGAUCCGCGCUGCAUUAGCUAGUUGGUAAGGUAACGGCUUACCAAGGCAACGAUGCAUAGCCGACCUGAGAGGGUGAUCGGCCACACUGGAACCGAGACACGGUCCAGACUCCUACGGGAGACAGCAGUAGGGAAUCUUCCGCAAUGGGCGAAAGCCUGACGGAGCAACGCCGCGUGAGUGAUGAAGGUCUUCGGAUCGUAAAACUCUGUUAUUAGGGAAGAACAUAUGUGUAAGUAACUGUGCACAUCUUGACGGUACCUAAUCAGAAAGCCACGGCUAACUACGUGCCAGCAGCCGCGGUAAUACGUAGGUGGCAAGCGUUAUCCGGAAUUAUUGGGCGUAAAGCGCGCGUAGGCGGUUUUUUAAGUCUGAUGUGAAAGCCCACGGCUCAACCGUGGAGGGUCAUUGGAAACUGGAAAACUUGAGUGCAGAAGAGGAAAGUGGAAUUCCAUGUGUAGCGGUGAAAUGCGCAGAGAUAUGGAGGAACACCAGUGGCGAAGGCGACUUUCUGGUCUGUAACUGACGCUGAUGUGCGAAAGCGUGGGGAUCAAACAGGAUUAGAUACCCUGGUAGUCCACGCCGUAAACGAUGAGUGCUAAGUGUUAGGGGGUUUCCGCCCCUUAGUGCUGCAGCUAACGCAUUAAGCACUCCGCCUGGGGAGUACGACCGCAAGGUUGAAACUCAAAGGAAUUGACGGGGACCCGCACAAGCGGUGGAGCAUGUGGUUUAAUUCGAAGCAACGCGAAGAACCUUACCAAAUCUUGACAUCCUUUGACAACUCUAGAGAUAGAGCCUUCCCCUUCGGGGGACAAAGUGACAGGUGGUGCAUGGUUGUCGUCAGCUCGUGUCGUGAGAUGUUGGGUUAAGUCCCGCAACGAGCGCAACCCUUAAGCUUAGUUGCCAUCAUUAAGCUGGGCACUCUAAGUUGACUGCCGGUGACAAACCGGAGGAAGGUGGGGAUGACGUCAAAUCAUCAUGCCCCUUAUGAUUUGGGCUACACACGUGCUACAAUGGACAAUACAAAGGGCAGCGAAACCGCGAGGUCAAGCAAAUCCCAUAAAGUUGUUCUCAGUUCGGAUUGUAGUCUGCAACUCGACUAUAUGAAGCUGGAAUCGCGAGUAAUCGUAGAUCAGCAUGCUACGGUGAAUACGUUCCCGGGUCU
rnacentral:rRNA from 1 species